rnacentral:rRNA from 1 species
AGCUUAACUCCGAAACUGCAUUCGAUACUGCCGUGCUUGAGGACUGGAGAGGAGACUGGAAUUUACGGUGUAGCGGUGAAAUGCGUAGAUAUCGUAAGGAAGACCAGUGGCGAAGGCGGGUCUCUGGACAGUUCCUGACGCUGAGGCACGAAGGCCAGGGGAGCAAACGGGAUUAGAUACCCCGGUAGUCCUGGCAGUAAACGGUGCACGUUUGGUGUGGGAGGAUUCGACCCCUUCUGCGCCGGAGCUAACGCGUUAAACGUGCCGCCUGGGGAGUACGGUCGCAAGAUUAAAACUCAAAGAAAUUGACGGGGGCCCGCACAAGCGGUGGAGUAUGUGGCUCAAUUCGAUGCAACGCGAAGAACCUUACC